GACGAACGCUGGCGGCGUGCUUAACACAUGCAAGUCGAACGGAAAGGCCCUGCUUUUGUGGGGUGCUCGAGUGGCGAACGGGUGAGUAACACGUGCGUAACCUGCCCUUGACUUUGGGAGAACGUCAGGAAACUGGGGCUAAUACCGGAACGGAGCUCCUGCUGCAUGGUGGGGGUUGGAAAGUUUCGGCGGUUGGGGAUGGACUCGCGGCUUAUCAGCUUGUUGGUGGGGUAGUGGCUUACCAAGGCUUUGACGGGUAGCCGGCCUGAGAGGGUGACCGGCAACAUUGGGACUGAGAUACGGCACAGACUCCUACGGGAGGCAGGAGUGGGGAAUAUUGCACAAUGGGCGGAAGCCUGAUGCAGCAACGCCGCGUGCGGGAUGACGGCCUUCGGGUUGUAAACCGCUUUCGCCUGUGACGAAGCGUGAGUGACGGUAAUGGGUAAAGAAGCACCGGCUAACUACGUG
rnacentral:rRNA from 1 species